UACGUGAGCCUCGAGCGUUACCCGGAUUUACUGGGCGUAAAGGGUGCGUAGGCGGUCAUAUUAGUCCCUCGUUAAAGCCUUGGGCUCAACCCAAGAAGUGCGGGGGAAACGGUAUGACUAGAGGAUGCGAGAGGUCUGUGGAACUCAUGGUGUAGGGGUGAAAUCCGUUGAUAUCAUGGGGAACACCGAAUGCGAAGGCAGCAGACUGGCGUAUUCCUGACGCUGAGGCACGAAAGCCAGGGUAGCGAAUGGG
rnacentral:misc_RNA from 1 species